GGGGAGUUGUCGGACAAUCACUCUUCGAGAGAAAAAUUUUUUGACCUAUUGAAAGAUAGCUUUUCUUGGAAUUCUUUAUGAUGAACUUUUUCAGCACAGUAUCAAUGUACAUCGACUGGGACAAUCCAACUGUUGGUGCAGAAUUCCACCGACGUUGGAGAAGCUAGAGUCGAGGAGAUCAUGUCCGCCGUCGGGACCUGCAAGGAAAGUCUAAACCAGAGUUAGGG
rnacentral:lncRNA from 1 species